UUUUUUUAAUUAGAAAACGCGGCGGACCUUCGUAAGAAGGUGUAGGCCGUCAAUUGUAUUUAGGAUGGCGUUUUGGACACAUACAUUAUAUGGGCAUUUAUUCACUGGGUUGUAAGAGAAAGGUUGGUGAUUUGUACUUGAACAAGUAGUAUAUAAUUGCCAUGAAAAACCACGUGGAUCACCUGCAACAGCACUCUUUGUCUCGGACCAGCCGCUUGGGAAAUGAAGCUUUGGGACAUCAUAGACCCUUAAUUGGAAUAAGGUAAGCUACAGUUCACUUUUUGAGUUCAUAUUUAGCACUUUAAAGAACACUGGUACAUAAGACAAGAAACGGUUUCCCAGCUAAAAAAAGAAUUUUUCUUCCAUACUUUCCUUUCAUAUUCUUUUUCGCUAAUGUUCGGUUGUAUAAAAGCGUGAUCCUCACUUAAAAGUGAAUCAUCAUUUACUUUUGUUUUUAUGUUGUAAGUUCUCCGAGUGAAACAUUGUUUUUCUUUUGUUUCAUUCUUGUGAAUUAUCGAUGAGAACAUAUUUUGAGUGGUGUCUAAUCGCAUGGCAAUUUUUUAUUCCAAAUGUUUUGAGGGUGAAGAGUCACCGAAAUCUUCGUUGACAUUGUUUUCAGUUAAGCCUGCAUCCAAGUACUGGGAACCGACGAAUGUCUCCAUAUAGUUUUCGAUCAUGUUAGUCAGCUGACAGAAUGUAGGUCGAUCGUUAGGUUCUUUUUUCCAGCAAUUUUUCAUUAUGUCUCCAAAAAAGUUUGGCGAGUAAUCUGGUUUCUCCAUUCGUAGUCCGUCUUGAAUAUCUUUGACGAGUAUAUGGCCGUUCAUACCUUGAAACAUACAGUAUAAAUGUAGAUUUCAAUGGAUAAAUGAAAAUUAGAUGUUGAUUUCAGUUUACCUGGGUAUGGAAUUUUGCCCAGGGUAAAGAGUUCCCAUAGAAGAAUCCCGUAAGACCAGACGUCAGAUUGACUAGAAAACACGUUAUCCGCCAACGAUUCAAUGGCCAUCCACUUGACUGGUAGCAAUCCCUGAUAGCCAAAUUAAUGAAAUUGGAUAUCGUCUGUUCCCCCGGAAAAGGUUGUGUGCAAACUUUACCUGCCCUUUUAUUUCAUAGCUGUUGCUGUACAUUUUUCGCGCCAUACCAAAAUCUGCAACUUUGACAACUCCAUGAUCAGCUAAAAGAACAUUGCGAGCGGCUAAAUCGCCAUGGAGAACCUGAUCGAUGUCAGAUAUUUCACACCGAGAAAAUUGAUUUAGUAAACGUAAUUGAAACGAUACCUUUUUACUAGCUAUAUAUUCCAUCCCCUUGGCUAUUUGGAGAGAAAAGCUAAUUAAAUUCCAGGUGGAAAUCGAUGGAUAGAAAUUUGCGUCAACGUCUCCUCCAUAUUUCCAAAUGGCUUCCGUUUCUUGAAGGCAAUCUUCUUCUGUUAAUGACACUUUUAAAAUAAAAAGACUCUCAAACAUUUUUUUUUUUUUCUCUCACUAUUUUGCAAUUUUACCGGGACAGAUUGAAAUGUCGGUUAUCGAAUUUCUCGCUUGAGAUACGGAAUUGUCUGAGUGUCCAGGCUGUAGUUGCUGUCUUGAUUUUCCGCAGGAGGCACCGUCCCCACUAGAACAUGCCAGAUUGUAGUUUGAAAUUAACUUUGAAUUGCUUUUUUAUACCAGUGAAUCGCGCUAAUUUCCACAAAUUCAUUUGGUAGAUUUAGGUUACCAAAGUCAUCCAAUUGGUUGAGAAAUUUAUUACGCUGUUUAAUCAAAUAAGAUUGUAAAUUGCCGAAACGACAAUAAUCGAUAAUCAGCAAGAGUUCGCCUAUCCAAUCAAAUUUGAUGCUUGGGUUUAAUAAAUUUUAAAAUGUCCAGGCUUUAAUGUAGUCUACCUUUGAUAAUGUCUUUGGUACAGGCUCCCAGUAAAUUGACGACAUUUAUAUGCGGUCCUAAAUAAUUCAGAAUUUUUAGUUCUCUAAUGAGAGCGUCUAGUCCCUCAUUCUUUAAUUUGAUUUGAAAUUGCGAUGCCGAAAGGACUUUUUUUACGGCUACUGUUGUAACAGUCUCAUCCGAGUCUUUCAUGCCGACAGCUUCGGCUUUGUAAACUUCCCCAAAGCAUCCUUUGCCCAGCUUUUUUCCUAAUUUUGUUUUUAAGUUGUUAGUUUAAAUUUGUAAAACUGAGACCAGCUUUUAAAUAAACGCGAACAAACCCAAUCUGAGGCGAUUUUUGGGAAAUUCACAUCCUUUAUCAUAAGGAAGAAAUUCAGUUUGAUACUCGAUUGGCAAGUUUGGAUCAAUGCCAUCAGGAUUUCCGUUCAAUCUUUCUUGAAUUUCUUUUUCCAGGUUUUUCUUCAUUUUAUAUAUGUGGGUUCAAAAAAAUGAAAGUAAAAUAAUCGAAACGGGAAUCGUAAGUCUUUGCAAUGACAAUUUCCUAUAUUUUUUACCACUCACCUUAUCAACGUACUGUUUGAUGGGUACUCCGAUAAUAACUAAAGUUGCAAGAGAUACGCAAACAGCGAUGGCAAUACUUGUAGAUUCUGUUUCUUCUGAAAAAUUAAAAUUUCUAUAUCUCUUUUCUCCUCGACUGUUGUUCCAACGACAUGAAUAAGUUCCCGUUUCUCCACCAAUUCCUUGUAGUGGCAAAACUGAUGAACUACUGCUUGUAUGGAUUAAUCCCAAAUAUUCUAUGUCAUCCUGAUUUCGAUUUGUAAGGAUUUAACCGAGGAUAAAAAUGGUUUGAUUUGUUUACCUUGAACCACUGGAUGUGGACGUCGUCUGAUAUUCUAUUGCAAGUCAAAUUCUGAGCUAUUCCUUUUCCCAGUUUGACAUUCAAUGGAUCAUUAUUUAUUUCUUAAAAGAGUUUCAAAAAUGAUUGUUUUUACUACCUAAAAAAAAAAAAGAGACAAAUAGAAAAGAAAUACCUUUGAUUGUAAAACUAAUUGAUUGAGAAAUCGUUUUACGACUGACGUUGCCUCUGCAUUGAAAGUGCGCGUGCGUAUCAAGAGUAACGCUGGACAGUUCCAGCUGACUUUGAUGUAAAUCGUACCAGUAAUCUCCAAGAACCUUGUGGAUCACUUCGUUGUUUAUUUUAAUUCCUGUAGUAAAUUUAUUAAAUAGUCAAACAUUUAAAAGAACAAGAGAUCGAGAUUGUUUCGUACCUUUAGGAGGGUCAGUUAUAUUUAUAAUCUGUUCUUGGUCGGUUUCGUUGAUUACGUAAGACCAUUCCGGUCGCCAAACGAAUUUUGAGACACUACUUUGAAUCAUAGUACUACAUAUCAGGGUAACAUUGUCACCUUCCACCACAUCGCCCUCCCCAAUCCUAACUAGUUCCAUUCCUAUUUUACAUUGGAUUUGUUAAAAAAAUUUCUAGAAACCUUUCUUGAUUUGAUCAAAGUAUAACCUCUGAUGAAAACGUUGAAUUCACUGUCGGUGUGUUUAGCAGUUGGCGUACGUUCGUUUAUGCUGCCUAUACAAAUGUAUUGUCCAGUGUCGUUGACUUUCGAAUUAGUUAACGUCAGUCCUCGUUCUGGGGUGGGUUUCAGCAACCAACUGGCAUUUUUAAAUUCAGGUCUCCGUCUGCGCCGAGUUCUCCGCGGUACAAAGACAUUGUUACGUUUGGAUGGGUUGGUUUGCACGGGAUAUCCAGAGGUUCGCCCGCUAACGAAACAAAUUCCGUGAUGACGUCAGCCUCGAUGAAAACAAGUUCUUUUUUACCUAGUUAUGUCAAAAGAAUCGCUAUUUGAUUAUCGAAGGUGAAUGAAAAAAAGUUAAAACAGACUGUAAAUGUAAACGUAUUGGUUGAUUUUAAUUUCGGGAGAGACGGCGCAAGUAAAAUAUCCCGUAUCAGAAGGA